GCGGCAGGAUUGAGGAAGUUGUGUGAGCCUGGGGUUGGAAGCCAGGAGAUGCUGCUGUAGUCACCCUGCAGAAGCCAACUCUUCUGGAAGUGACCAGAACCCUGAGCCGCCUGGACUCUGAAACCCAAAAGUGAUGCCCGUUGUGGUAUAGAAGGGACUGCGGAGGCCAUCUAAAGGACAGAAGGAAUAAACCAAGGAUGAAGACGCUGAACAGCUUUCCUAAGGUCACUCAGCCAGUGGUAACUGGAGCAGGAACCAGAGCCUUGGGCUGGGGAGAGAAGAGAGGAAACAGCGAGUAGCCAUCUUCCUCCCUGCCACUGGGUCCCCUCCUGUUUGCUGUUUCCUGCAAGGCCUCCUCACAGAGUAAGGACACCUGAACUCCUCUUACAGCUGAAGAUCUCACAUCAGUGCUCCAGCCUGCAACCCCUCCCUCCCCCCCCCCCCAGGAGCUGAGCUUAAACCCCACAACUUCCCGUUCUACCUGGCUCUGCCCAUCCCAUCAGAGGCACAUGAGUUACUCUCUGACUCAACCUUUUUCAAGUUGUUUCCUGUCACUCCCUCUCCUUAUAUCGGCCCCCAGACUCUCAUUUUCCAUGGUCCUGUGCUGUCAGCUUCUCUAGCAGAGUCCCUGGGGGCAUGUUGUAUAUGAAAUUAUUUUGUGAAAUCCAAUAAAAAUUUUAAUCAGGUCAACAUCA